GUUAGAAGUAACAUGCCUGAGGAUAAUGGGCUUCCUUGUGUUACUUCUGGUACUCAGAAGUGGAAUGGGGCUAUUCCUAGUUUUAUGGCCAUAGCCACAGUGAUAAUGGUCGAUGUAACACAAGGAAGCCCAUUAUCCUCAGGCAUGUUACUUCUAACCUGACAAAAGAUCGCACCAAUCUCAGUCCUAU